GCUCCAUUGGUGAAAGCGGCAAACACAACGGAUUCAAAAUCCGUCUCCGAAAGGAUUAUCAGUUCGAGUCUGAUAUGGAGCACCA
rnacentral:tRNA from 1 species